UAACCUUAGUUUUUCGGAUUUACCGAAACGACCACAAUGGCCAAAAUAUUGAAUUUCAAACUAAAAUUUGGAAUGUUAAAAGGUCACUGAAAUGCAACAUAAAAAAAUUAGAAAUAUGAUAUUUCAUACACUACGAUAUGUUCUGUACAUUUAGACUUAGAUUCAAGAUAUCAAAGUUUAAUCAAAUAAAAAAUAGUUAUAUGGAAUGAAAAGAAAAGAAAAGCUAAAUGGAAUAAUAAAUCUUCCGCAAAUAAACAUUUGUAUUUGGAAUAUUGCAUUUUCCAUUUUUCUAACCUCUUUUGAUACAAUAAACAAAUAUGAAAUAUAUUGAAGAAAUUAGUGUUAAUAAACCCAAGAGGAAAGAGGCGUACGUGGGCUUAGCCGCUCAGAUCCGAUUUGUUUCAUGACCUCCUCCCACAUUGGUGCAGAUUAAAAAUGAGAGCAGCUAUAUAAGGAGUCGAGAGAGAAGAAGAAGCACGACCUUACUUGAACAGGAUCUGUUCUAUAGGCUCGUACCUCUGUAUUCUUGAUUCCUAAGAAGACAGAAACCCAUGUCUGGUUGAUGAACCACGACCAUGUAACCAGAGCGUGAUUAACAGAACUUCAUGGUCUCGGCCAUGGCUCGGUAGAUGAUCGUUGCCAAUCCAUCUAAUGGUCCUGGCAUGGCUACAUGGUUGUCUGACAGACAAUCUCAACUUUUUUUUUUUUGGUUCUAUUUCUCCAUGAUUCCUCAUUACAGUUGACAUAAAUUUCGUUCUUUCAUUUGUAUCCAGUAUCAAUCCAUCUCCCUCGUUUGUUAUUUUAGUUAUUGUUAUAUGGAAGGUGCUGAAGUUAUAUAGAAAUGUGUCCAAAUUAGAGCUGCAGACCAAGUGUUUGAUGAAAUGCCUGAAGGAGAUUGCCUUUUCUUUUUUGCCUUCUUCUACAGUCAGGAAGGAUGAUAAUCUGUAUGUUGCUGGGCUUUUUUAUGAUUCAUGGCCUCAUGUGAUUGUCAAGAAUGGGGGAAUUCUUGAGUCAUUGAAUUUGUUUAGGAAGAUACAAUGGAAGGGUGUAAAUUGUAAUCCGUUACAAACAAUGUGACACUAUGUGCUGAGUUUUUUUGGUACAUAUUAUAAUUGGACUGGUUUAUCAAGAUGAUGCUUUUAAAAAUC